rnacentral:tmRNA from 1 species
UCACUUCACAUUAAUCGCUAGGCGCCUAUAUGGGGUUUGCCGGGUUCGCCCGGCUAUGGCGAUAAACUGCGGCGUGCAAUAGGCGCAGCGGACCCGGGGGCGGUACCCGGCGGCUCCACCACCUCCUCUGCCCGUGCAGAGGAAAUGACGGGGCCGAACUAGGAUCGACGUGUGUUGAAGAGCGCUGUUUUUGCCCGGGCUGAGUAACCCGUUAAAGGCUCAAAACUCACAAGUGCCAACGACAACGAAGCACUUGCUCUCGCCGCGUAAUUCUAGGGGCUAACGCCCUGACGUUAUUAAGCGACAGCACGGUUCGGACCGAACCGGGUAACAGAAUCGGAAACC